GCCCCGUAAUCGGAAUGAGUACACUUUAAAUCCUUUAACAAGGAUCCAUUGGAGGGCAAGUCUGGUGCCAGCAGCCGCGGUAAUUCCAGCUCCAAUAGCGUAUAUUAAAGUUGUUGCGGUUAAAAAGCUCGUAGUUGGUUCUGCGUGCCGCGCUGUCGGUUCGCCGCCUGUCGGUGUAACUGGCAUGUCGCGGCAUGUCCUGUCGGUGGUGAACGGAGUCCACAAUGCUACAUAGGCUUUACAGCCGAUGUUAGCGUCGUGUGUACUUCCGUUGGCCGAUCUCUCCUACUUCGGUGCUCUUAAACGAGUGUCGAGGUAGGCCGACACGUUCACUUUGAACAAAUUAAAGUGCUUAAAGCAGGCUGAAAUAUCUGCCUGAAUAGUGGUGCAUGGAAUGAUAAAACAGGACCUCGGUUCUAUUUUGUUGGUUUUAGGAAUAUGAGGUAAUGAUCAAUGUGGACUGGCGGGGGCAUUCGUAUUGCGACGUUAGAGGUGAAAUUCUUGGAUCGUCGCAAGACGCACUAGAGCGAAAGCAUUUGCCAAGUAUGUCUUAAUUGAUCAAGAACGAAAGUUAGAGGUUCGAAGGCGAUCAGAUACCGCCCUAGUUCUAACCAUAAACGAUGCCAGCCAGCGAUCCGCCGAUGUUCCUUUAAUGACUCGGCGGGGAGCUUCCACCCGGGAAACCAAAGCUUUUGGGUUCCGGGGGAAGUAUGGUUGCAAAGCUGAAACUUAAAGGA
rnacentral:rRNA from 1 species